rnacentral:rRNA from 1 species
UACGAGUGAAAGGCGCUUUCGGGUGUCGCUGAUGGAUGGACCCCCGGUGCAUUAGCUAGUUGGUGAGGUAACGGCUCACCAAGGCCACGGUGCGUAGCCGACCUGAGAGGGGAACCGGCUACANUGGCUCUGNGCCAGGAUCAAACUCUNNNCGGGAGGCAGCAGUAGGGAAUCUUCGGCAAUGGACGAAAGUCUGACCGAGCAACGCCGCGUGAGUGAAGAAGGUUUUCGGAUCGUAAAACUCUGUUGUUAGAGAAGAACAAGGACGUUAGUAACUGAACGUCCCCUGACGGUAUCUAACCAGAAAGCCACGGCUAACUACGUGCCAGCAGCCGCGGUAAUACGUAGGUGGCAAGCGUUGUCCGGAUUUAUUGGGCGUAAAGCGAGCGCAGGCGGUUUCUUAAGUCUGAUGUGAAAGCCCCCGGCUCAACCGGGGAGGGUCAUUGGAAACUGGGAGACUUGAGUGCAGAAGAGGAGAGUGGAAUUCCAUGUGUANCGGUGAAAUGCGUAGAUAUAUGGAGGAACACCAGUGGCGAANGCGGCUCUCUGGUCUGUAACUGACGCUGANGCUCGAAAGCGUGNNGAGCAAACAGGANUANAUACCCUGGUAGUCCACGCCCGNAAACGAUGAGUGCUAAGNGUUGGAGGGUUUNCCGCCCUUCAGUGCUGCAGCAAACGCAUUAAGCACUCCGCCUGGGGAGUACGACCGCAGGUUGAAACUCAANGAAUUGACGGGNGCCCGCA